UACGGAGGGUGCGAGCGUUGUCCGGAAUCACUGGGCGUAAAGGGCGCGUAGGCGGCCCGACAAGCGUGGGGUGAAAGUCCGGGGCUCAACCCCGGAUCGGCCUCGCGAACUGCCGGGCUGGAGCACUGUAGGGGCGGGUGGAAUUCCAGGUGUAGCGGUGAAAUGCGUAGAUAUCUGGAGGAACACCGGUGGCGAAGGCGGCAUCCUGGACCGACACUGACACUGAGGAGCGAAAGCGUGGGGAGCAAACAGG
rnacentral:rRNA from 1 species